CUGCAUUUGAAUUGCUAGGGUUAGGGUUUUUAGGGUUUCUCUUCAUCAAUAAUAGGAACAGAGAGGUGAAAGCGAAGUAAUUGAAAUACAAUCGGUCAGAUUCUCUAUACCAUUCAUAUUUUGUAAAUUCUGUAAAAUUCCCACAAAUUAUUGUAUAUUUCUACAAGUUCUGGUGAUCAAUUUCAUGAUAGGUAGCUCUUAGAUCAUCAUCGCCUUCGCAUUGAGUUGAUGAUUGAAUACAUAGAUUUUGAGGUUGGCCCAAGAUUUGAGCAGCAAUUGCUUAUGGAAAAAGAGGAAUCUUGAGGUCGGAAUGUAUCAUGAUUGAGAAGAAGGAAACUUUGAGGGGUUAUUUGUAUGAUUUAGCACUGAGAUGACGGGUGCCGUUCUUAGCAGGAGCCAAUCAGCUCGUCUUAGAACUCAGACCAGUAGUAGCCCUAGGUCUUCGUCGUUAAGAGGAAGAGGUGUGCUCCUGGAUCUUUCUCGACUACUCUCCCUGUAAUCAUAGUCUUGAUAAGCCUCGUUCUAGUGCUCGGAUCUUUUUCUUAUACAUACUAUGUUUGAUAUUUUAGCCAUGGGAAUUUGGCUGCCGAGUUUAUCGACUGGAAUGAGAAAUGUGAUGUCUUUGAGGGAUGCUGGGUGAAAGAUGAGAGUUACCCUCUUUAUAAUAGCUCUCAGUGCCCCUUCGUCGAGAGGGGUUUUAACUGUUUGGCCAAUGGGAGGAAGGAUACCGAGUAUCAGAAAUGGAGAUGGAAGCCUAAGAAUUGUGAUGUGCCCAACUUUAAUGCUAUUGAGAUCUUGGAAGGGUUGAGAGGGAAAAGGGUAGUUUUGGUAGGGGACUCAGAUGAGUAGGACGCAAUGGGAGUCUUUGAUCUGUAUGCUUAUGACUGGUGUGAAGGAUCCCAAGAGUGUUUAUGAGGUUAACGGGAAUAAAAUUUCGAAGACUAUUCUGUUUUUGGCUGUUCGGUUUGAGUCUUUUGCUCUUAGAGUGGAGUUUUUCCGAUUGUUUUCCUUGUGCAGCGGCAUGGGCACUGAAGCAUGUCCCAGCAAGGGUUCGGUUCGUGCUCAUGCUGGACAACAUGGAUCAUGCAAAUAGGAGAUGGGUUGAUGUUGAUGUCUUAAUUUUCAAUUCUGGCCACUGGUGGACAUGGACAAAACUAAUCGAUUCCGAAUUGAACCCGAAAGUGUGUGAAAUGACGGAACAACGUAUGCCAGACGCCCGAGGGAAUUAUAGAAGCGAGUUUGCGACAUCAUAUCGGAGGUGGUUACAAAGAUGAGAGUUCCUGCUAUUGUCCUGAAUGUGACUUCCAUGGGGGCAGUCAGGAGUGAUGCCCAUGUAGGAAAUUGGAGCUAUCUUGUGGCCAGUUUUGAUUGCUGCCAUUGGUGCCUCCCUGGAGUUCCUGAUACUUGGAAUGAGCUUUUAUUAUCUUCCUUUAUGACUGACGGUGAGGAUUCAUUCUGAAAAUCCUUUAUUAGUUGACGUUGUAUAUCAAUUCCUUUAUCUUUGCAUGGGGUUAGUUGUAGACACACCCAUUGUACUAUGAGGGCGUAACUCCUUAUACCCCCUGAGUUCUAGACAGCAUUAUUUCUCCCUUGGGGUCGGGAUGUCAUGUGGGAGUCAUGUGAUAGCAAAAUACCUUGCUCUCAAUUUAACUGGAAAAAAGACUGAACUGCCCGCUAAUUUUGGGCAAAAAUUAUCCCUACUACCGUAGGUGAUAAUAUAACAGUUUUGUUUUUUUUUA